rnacentral:rRNA from 1 species
UCAAGUCGAGCGGAGUUCAUCGGGAGCUUGCUUCGGAUGAACUUAGCGGCGGACGGGUGAGUAACGCGUGGGCAACCUGCCCGUGAGACUGGGAUAACUACGGGAAACGGUACCUAAUACCGGAUACGCAAGUUCCUCGCAUGAGGGGCUUGGGAAAGGCGGAGCAAUCUGUCACUUACGGAUGGGCCUGCGGCGCAUUAGCUAGUACGUAUGGUAACGGCCUACCUACGCGACUAUGCGUAGCCGACCUGAGAGGGUGAACGGCCACACUGGGACUGAGACACCGCCCAGACUCCUACGGGAGGCAACAUUAGGGAAUCUUCCGCAAUGGACGAAAGUCUGACGGAGCGACGCCGCGUGAGUGAUGAAUGUUUUCGGAUCGUAAAGCUCUGUUGCCGGGGAAAAACGUCUUAGAUAGUAACUGCUCUAAGAGUGACGGUACCUGAGAAGAAAGCCCCGGCUAACUACCUGCCAGCAGCCGCGGUAAUACGUAGGGGGCGAGCGUUGUCCGGAAUUAUUGGGCGUAAAGCGCGCGCAGGCGGCUGUUUAAGUCUGGUGUUUAAUCCUGGGGCUCAACCCCGGGUCGCACUGGAAACUGGACGGCUUGAGUGCAGAAGAGGAGAGUGGAAUUCCACGUGUAGCGGUGAAAUGCGUAGAGAUGUGGAGGAACACCAGUGGCCAAGUCGACUCUCUGGGCUGUUAACUGACGCUGAGCGCGCGAAAGCGUGGAGGAGCAAACACGAUUAGAUACCCUGGUACUCCACGCCGUAAACUAUGAAUGCUAGGUGUUAGGGGUUUUCUAUAUCCUUGUUGCCCAAGUUAACACAUUAAUCAUUCCGCCUGCCGAGUACUGCCGCACGGCUGAAACUCAUAAGGAGUUCACGCGCACGCGCGCACGCGUGUAGUAUGUUGUUUAAUUAAAGCAGCUCACAUAACAUACCUCGCGUGACGUCUCCUGAUGGAGUGGAGAUUAUUCGUAUCGUGCAGUACAGGACAGAGAGAUGAGCACGCUGUGUCUCUCUGUCGAGAUAUUUGAGAUAGUCAAACUAGACAUCGUGCCUUUGUUCUCUCGUGUUCUGAUGUACGUUAGAUACUCGUGCACACCGAGACUGGGAUAGUUCAUUCAUGCGCUUUACUGCUAACGGUCGUACAUGCGUACGGGAUCUACGACUGAAAGCUGGACCCUAAUAGCCAUGCAGUGCACUCCCUGGACCGAAUCG